GAUGAAGAACGUAGCGAAAUGCGAAAAGUAAUGUGAAUUGCAGAAUUCAGUGAAUCAUCGAAUCUUUGAACGCACAUUGCGCCCGCCAGGAUUCUGGCGGGCAUGCCUGUCUGAGCGUCAUUUCAACCCUCACGCCCCUAGGGCGUGGUGUUGGGGAUCGGCCAGCGCCCUCGCGGGCGAGGCCGUCCCCUAAAUCUAGUGGCGGACCCGUCGUGGCCUCCCCUGCGAAGUAGUGAUAUUCCGCAUAGGAGAGCGACGAGCCCCUGCCGUUAAACCCCCAACUUUCUCAGGUUGACCUCAGAUCAGGUAGGAAUACCCGCUGAACUUAAGCAUAUCAAUAAGCGGAGGA
rnacentral:misc_RNA from 1 species